rnacentral:lncRNA from 12 species
AUGCAAAACUCCUGCCAAGUAAUCUGAAGGUAAAUUCAAGGGAUCCUAACCAGCUGCAGUGAAAAGCCCACUCCAAACUCUGCUAGAGGUUAAACCCUUGGUAAAAAACUCUUCUGCUCACCUCAAAACAACUCAUUUAACACUGUAACCCCUUCCCAGUCCCUCCCAGUAGCCCCAAACCCCAAACCAGUAUAAACCAGUAACCCCAAAUCCGCCUUUAACCCCUUCCCAGUCCCUCCCAGUAGCCCCAAACCCCAAACCAGUAUAAACCAGUAACCCCAAAUCCGCCUUUAACCCCUUCCCAGUCCCUCCCAGUAGCCCCAAACCCCAAACCAGUAUAAACCAGUAACCCCAAAUCCCCUCCCAGUCUCUCCCAAUCCAUCCCAGUCUCUCCCAGUCCAUCCCAGUCCCUCCCAGUUUGAUCCCAGUCCCCUCCCAGUCCAUCCCAGUCUCUCCCAGUCUGUCCCAUUCCCCUUCCCAGUCCCUCCCACUCCCCCCCCCCCCCCCCCCCCCCCCCCCCCCCCCCCCCCCCCAUCCCCUCCCAGUCCCUCCCAGUCCCUCCCAGUCCCUCCCAGUCCGUCCCAGUCCCACCUGUGCCACGGGCACGCCCUCCUGGCCAGGUUUGAACUGGGCGCGGUUGCAGAGCGUGAUCACCUGGCUGAGCAGUGCCCACGACUCCGAGGACUGGUCAAAGCUCUGACCUGGCUGGGUACGCUCGCUGGUGUCGGCCGCGUGCACCUGCCCGUCGAACCACAGGUGCGCCACGGCCAUGCGGUUCUGGGUGAGGGUGCCGGUCUUGUCGGAGCAGAUCACCGAGGUGGAGCCCAGCGUCUCCACCGCCUCCAGGUUCUUCACCACGCAGCUGCGGCGCGCCAGGCGCUUGGCCGUCAGCGACAGGCACACCUGCGCAGGUGAGCGGACAGGUGAGCAGGUGAGGGAACAGGUGAGAGCACACCUGAGCAGGGCACAGCACACCUGGGCAGGGUAUAGCACACCUGGGCAGGGUGCAGCACACCUGAGGGGAUGGCACACCUGAGUGGGGUAUGGCACACCUGGGCGGGGUACGGCACACCUGUACACCUCACACGGCGCGCCAGGCGCUUGGCCGUCAGCGACAGGCACACCUGCGCAGGUGAGCGGACAGGUGAGCAGGUGAGGGAACAGGUGAGAGCACACCUGAGCAGGGCACAGCACACCUGGGCAGGGUAUAGCACACCUGGGCAGGGUGCAGCACACCUGGGCAGCUGCGCCGUGAGCGACAGGCACACCUGGCCAGGUGAGCGGACAGGUGAGCAGGUGAGGGAACAGGUGAGAG